rnacentral:rRNA from 1 species
GACGAACGCUGGCGGCGUGCCUAAUACAUGCAAGUAGAACGCUGAAGUCUGGUGCUUGCACUAGACGGAUGAGUUGCGAACGGGUGAGUAACGCGUAGGUAACCUGCCUCAUAGCGGGGGAUAACUAUUGGAAACGAUAGCUAAUACCGCAUACGCCCUACGGGGAAAGGAGGGGAGUUCGCAAGGACCUUUCACUAUUGGAGCGGCCGAUAUCGGAUUAGCUAGUUGGUGAGGUAACGGCUCACCAAGGCGACGAUCCGUAGCUGGUUUGAGAGGACGACCAGCCACACUGGGACUGAGACACGGCCCAG